rnacentral:rRNA from 1 species
AGUAACACGUGGGUAACCUGCCUUAUAGUGGGGGGUAGCCUUUCGAAAGGAAGAUUAAUACCGCAUAAGAUUGUAGUAUCGCAUGAUAUAGCAAUUAAAGGAGCAAUCCGCUAUAAGAUGGACCCGCGUCGCAUUAGCUAGUUGGUGAGGUAAUGGCUCACCAAGGCGACGAUGCGUAGCCGACCUGAGAGGGUGAUCGGCCACAUUGGGACUGAGACACGGCCCAGACUCCUACGGGAGGCAGCAUG